CACCUUAAAAUCUCAUUCAGAAAUAGAGAGAAAAAUCUGGUUGAAAAGAAUUGUGAUAAUCUGUUUUAUUUUGUUCUUAAACUUGAAUGAAAUCAGCUUAAUCAUCAAAAGAGAUAGUCCAGAUAGAUGGGUGGAGGAGCACAUGUAAGAUCGGAUAUCUCUCUUCCAAUUUCCUUGCUUGAAAUUUAUAUCCCAACCCAUAUUUUUCUGGUAUUUUCCUUAAUCUUCUCGAACUUUUAAUCGAAAGUAAAAUCCCUUGUAUUUCCCCUCUUUCUCCGUCUUUCAAAUAUUAAUUUUCUAGGGUUUUAGGUAGUUGUCUCAGGUUGAUUUUAGUUGUUUCAUAUUCUAGGUUUAGGUGUUUGUAAUUUUUGUUUACGUUACUUAUUGGGUAAAUUCACUACUCAAAGGAAUCACAUGGUAAAGAUCUGCAAGUUCAAAACGGUUAUGUGAGUUUGUUAUAGAGAAGGUGUUUAAUAAAGUGAGUUUAAGAUUAUUUGAUAAGUAGAUUAAUUGUCAUGUUUGGUAUGAAGUUAUUAGCUUUCUUAAAUGAUAGCGUGUUUGAUAAUACUUUGGUUAGGGUAUCUUUGGGCUUAUUAGACUGAUGGUGUGUUUAUCUUGGAAUAUUUUGGGUUAGGAUAUAUCUGGUUGUACAAGAGUUUGACAGCGUAUUGAUAUUAUGAUUUAGUUUCUUGGUUUACUGGUAAAGUUAGGAAUACUACCUCUAUUUCAUCUAUAGUGUUGUUGUUCUAGUAUGGUUUAUAAGCUACUUUUUAGUUUUAGGAUGUUGCUUCAGAUGAGGUGCAUGUUUGAUAUGCCUCUUGUCUAUAUAUUUGUCUAUCUGAUUAUGUUUCUAUGUAUGUUCGAUAUGCUAAUCUUUUCACCAGUAGUUGAUUUAAAUUGGUUUCGGAUUUGUUUGAUUAUGUUUUAGUUUAUUCAUACUCAAGACAAUAUAUUUGUCCUGUGUCUUCAAAAUGGGUAGUGUAGAAAGUUCUUUCAAUUUUAUUUUCUGGCCAGACACUAUGCUGCAACGGCAAUUGUACUGAGAUAGUGAUGAUCUGGCUUUGUAGCUUAUAGUUAUUGUAAUCGCGUUGUCUAUCAUUUUCAGUCUACAAUAAGGUUUAUGACACCUCCAUUUUCACCUAGUGCAAUCAAAUUGUUUUUUUAGUGAUCAUAUCUAGCUUCUACUCACCCUUGCUGAUUAGGAAAAUAAUUCACUACAUGUAUGUUUAUCAAGUUAGUCAUCCAUGGUUUGAAGAUUUAAUCUUUUAGUAGUAGCCAUGAAUCCCUGCUCUUUAUCUUGUGCUUUUAACAGGGCAAUAGUUUUUGUUACACCCAUCAUAUAGAAAAUAGCAUUUUGCAAGAUAUUAUACCCUGAUAUUUUAUUUUGUGCUUUUAACAUGGCUUUUUUUUUUGUUAUUUAUUUCAAGUAUGCACAAAUCAGUGUUGGUUCCAGAGAGUACUUCAGCUAGCAUUCUACCAUGUUUGUUAUAAUUUUACGGGGUCAUUUGGAAUCACAUAAAUGAGGUUCUGUUUAGAAAUGUUGCUGCAAACCCAGCUAGUGUCUUGCGGAAAAUUGAUGGCUACAUAACUGCGAAUGAGGAAAGCUUGACAACCUCGUACCAACUUUGGAAGUAUCUAAGAGGUAGGAAUUUUCAACGUCAGGCUUAUGAAUGAGCGUCCAUAUACUAUCAUUGGGGAGGCAGAUAGCACCAUUCUUCUAGUGAGAGAUGGAGCAUGUAAGAGGUGUAAGAGAACUAGUAAGGUUAUUGCAUAGACUUGUCGGCUCAUUGGAAACGACUCUGGUGGUUGUACUACAGGUAAUGGAACUUUUUUUGCAUUAUCAACCUUCAGGUUCAGACUGGGUGUUUGGCUUUUUGUAUGGGCUGCGUGCUUGUUGGUCUUCUCAAGCUAGGAAUGUCAAAAUCAUCACGGAUUGCACUCCUUGUUGCUGGACUAUUCAACAUUGGCCAGCUAGUUGUGAACCUGAGAUUGUUUCUGUAAUAGAUGAUGUAACUACUAAGUCUCUAGAUAACUGUUAGUUCGUAUAUUGCAAGGAACGAAGGGCACUAGCCACUAGGUGUUAAGAAGAUUCUAUUUGAAGCUGCGGAAAAGCCAUCUUAGGCCAAAAAAAUUUGGAGUUAGUGCUUUGUUGUGGUAUAUUAUGAGAGGACCAUCGUCUAAGUUUCAUUCACUUGCAUGUCUGAGUGCUACAAUUAUUAACAAAGCGUGACUUCUUAAGUAUAGGUGACAAGUUUGACCAAGGGUCUGACACUAUUGUUGAAUUUGUGAUAACGGCUAUUGAAAGAUGUAUGGAGUUAAAUCUCGAUGAGCUGAACCUGAUAGGUUGAUAUGGGAUUGCUUGUAUGAAGCUAUUAGUAAUUCUAUAUCUGGUGGAUAUUCACAACAUUUAUCCUGUCUGUUAUCAGUUUUUAUAUCAACUAUUUAUUUUGAUCAUGGUCGAAUUAUCAAUGGUAAGUUAUGAGUGAGCUUAUGAAUUCAUCUUUGAUGGGUUGAUGUUCUUCUAUUAUGUAAAGCGAGACUAGUGUUCUUGAAAUAUGUGCAGAUUACAAUCAAAUGCUGAAUUUAGUGGGGUUGCUUAAGGGGAAACAUAUUCAAUUUCAGCUUAUGUGUUGUACGUUCUUAAUGUCAUUCACAGUAACAACAAGUUAACUGUUAUCCCUGAAAUUUCCUUGCAGUGGGCUUUUGUUUUUCAAUUUAAGAGCUCAAUGUACUUUACCUUGGACAAUUGGUAGAAAUUUUUGGUAGAUUAUCAGGAUUUCUUUGAAGUAGUUGUCUUUCUUUCUUUACACUGUGAAAGAAGUUAUUACUUACCGCUAUAUAUUUUGUUUUUGUAAGGUCGAUGAUGCAUUUGAAUAUUUUGGUGAUGGGAGAAAGGAAUCAAGCUAGGGACGAUGCAUAGCUUCUUCAACUAUGAAGGCAAUGAAGCCCACAUUAUGAAACUUGAACUUAAAGCCUUUUGAAGAAUGACCUUUAUUUUGUAGAUUACGAGUAAUAGGUUAGAAUCAUAAGUAGAGGUGAUAGAUGUUUUGAUUUUAAGUUUGUGUUUAGGAGACGAUACUAUCUAAUUAAAUAGUUUGGAUGAUGUUUAAACUUUGAUUAUAUAUUUAGAAUAUAUUAUUACAUACA